UUCCUACGGGAGGCAGCAGUGGGGAAUAUUGGACAAUGGGCGCAAGCCUGAUCCAGCAAUGCCGCGUGUGUGAAGAAGGCCUUCGGGUUGUAAAGCACUUUUGUUAGGGAGGAAAGUCUUGUAGCUAAUAACUGCGAGAUAUGACGUUACCUAAAGAAUCAGCACCNANAAACUCUGUGCCAGCAGCCGCGGUAAUACAGAGGGUGCAAGCGUUAAUCGGAAUUACUGGGCGUAAAGGGUCUGUAGGCGGAUUAUUAAGUCGGAUGUGAAAUCCCCGGGCUCAACCUGGGAACGGCAUUCGAUACUGGUAGUCUAGAGUGUGCAAGAGGAUGGGGGAAUUCCUGGUGUAGCAGUGAAAUGCGUAGAGAUCAGGAGGAACAUC
rnacentral:rRNA from 1 species